CCUGGGGCAACGUGAAGUCCCUGAAGCUGUAGAAGGAGAUGUCACCAUGAUCCACCAGGGCAAAGAUCAGAGGGACAUCCCCACUCUGGAGCCAGUUCCUAACCACCAACUCCUGGCGGUCAAGGUACUGCAGAGACGGCACUGCUUGGAAACUUACCGGGCACCUCCAUCAGGAAGGUGUGUUGUCUGCAGCACAGAGAUAUGCUGAAGGACCACGGCUACAAGGACACAGAAAACAAGGUACUGGGGAGGGGAGUCACAUUUCUCAGUCUGCCAUCUAGUUUAGGACGGCCAGAUUUAGCAACUUUUUUUUUUAAACGGAGUCUCACUCUGUCAC
rnacentral:lncRNA from 1 species